GAGUUUGAUCCUGGCUCAGAUUGAACGCUGGCGGCAUGCUUUACACAUGCAAGUCGAACGGCAGCGCGGGGCAACCUGGCGGCGAGUGGCGAACGGGUGAGUAAUAUAUCGGAACGUACCCAGAAGUGGGGGAUAACGUAGCGAAAGUUACGCUAAUACCGCAUACGAUCUACGGAUGAAAGUGGGGGACCGCAAGGCCUCACGCUUUUGGAGCGGCCGAUAUCUGAUUAGCUAGUUGGUGAGGUAAAGGCUCACCAAGGCGACGAUCAGUAGCUGGUCUGAGAGGACGACCAGCCACACUGGGACUGAGACACGGCCCAGACUCCUACGGGAGGCAGCAGUGGGGAAUUUUGGACAAUGGGCGCAAGCCUGAUCCAGCAAUGCCGCGUGAGUGAAGAAGGCCUUCGGGUUGUAAAGCUCUUUUGUCAGGGAAGAAACGGCCUGGGUUAAUACCCCGGGCUAAUGACGGUACCUGAAGAAUAAGCACCGGCUAACUACGUG
rnacentral:rRNA from 1 species